CGACGAUAAGAGGAGGUUAACAUCCAAGAAACCGCCCGCCAAAAGUCCCAUCAGAUGUCCUCAGUAGUUCCUAGAGGACGUCCCAUGAUGUUGCAAUGACAGUCCUGUGGAUGUCCAGAGUAUGUCAUCUGGACUUUUUGGGAUGUCCUCUGGACCAUGUGUGUCGUCCUCUGAGAUCGUGGUCGAGCCACACGGAAACGACUUCUCUUACAGGAUUGAAGAUUUCGGAGAGACGCGUUCAGCUCAAGGGAACGGAGCCAACGAUGUUCAGGCGUGCGGUCAGCAUCGGUAAGGCCAAAAACGAAAAAAAUUAAAAAGAGAGAGAGAAAAACCUCCCCAGAGCAUCAACACAUCAUAGGUUCGUCAACGACUACAGUGAUGGCGGACGGCUCGCAGCACGAGCGGAUGACGCACGUACAGAGCACUUGGAUGCAUCGGUCUUUUUGGCUCGCCAUCCUUAUCCUUUGGAACUCUGUCAAGCCAGGCAUUUAAUGGGAAAAUAAUCACGGCUCAGCCGCAAAAUUCUUCGCGUCCCGCUGCGGAGAAUACUCGAGGAGGAGAUGUAGAAGAGGACACUCACACGUACAGGAACGUCACGCGAACGUCACGCAAGGUGGUGAAGAGAUUCUCCGAGCUUGCUGUCGGCUGUCACAACAAAGUCCUGAUGCUGAUGCUUCGAAAUGAGACCACACGCAAUAGCCUCCAGUUGGCCCACUUCCCACGAUGACACAGUGGUUUCCGCCUCCCCGUGUUGACAAGAAACGUCGCCUAUGCUAGUGAGGGACUCGUGAAGAUGCAACAGAAUCACAGCAACGUCAUGACGUGCUCCCUGCUGUCCUUCUUCAGCGUUUGAGACCCCGUGAGACCUGCAAGCACCUCAUCGGAUAGAUCGAUAUUCGUUCACAGUUUGGUGCGAAAGUUCACAAUG